UGGGGAAUUUUGCGCAAUGGGGGAAACCCUGACGCAGCAACGCCGCGUGGGUGAUGAAGGCCUUCGGGUCGUAAAGCCCUGUCGGGAGGGAAGAAAUGAUUGAGAGCUAAUACCUCUUGGUCUUGACGGUACCUCCGAAGGAAGCACCGGCUAACUCCGUGCCAGCAGCCGCGGUAAUACGGAGGGUGCAAGCGUUGUUCGGAAUUAUUGGGCGUAAAGCGCGUGUAGGCGGUCUUUUAAGUCUGAUGUGAAAGCCCCGGGCUCAACCUGGGAAGUGCAUUGGAAACUGGGAGACUUGAGUACGGGAGAGGAGAGUGGAAUUCCUAGUGUAGGAGUGAAAUCCGUAGAUAUUAGGAGGAACACCGGUGGCGAAGGCGGCUCUCUGGACCGAUACUGACGCUGAGACGCGAAAGCGUGGGUAGCAAACAGGAUUAGAUACCCUGGUAGUCCACGCCGUAAACGAUGAGUACUAGGUGUUGCGGGUAUUGACCCCUGCAGUGCCGUAGCUAACGCAUUGAGUACU
rnacentral:rRNA from 1 species